rnacentral:misc_RNA from 1 species
UCCUGCAAGAGGUUGCUUUCCUUCGGGAGAGUCAGCCUUUGCUACCCUUAUCCUGUGUUUUUGUAUACCUUGUUGUUUCCUUGGUGGGCUUGCCUGCCUUAAGGACUACUUUAAAAACCCUUUGCAGUUGCAUUCAACGUCUGAAAAAAUCAAUAGUUA